AGUCUUAUAAUGGAUCUCUCAGUCACAUCAACGCCCGAGUCUAUGGUGAUGAUAAUGUUUGUGCAAAGUGGAUGCCAAGUGACUGCACAAUCAAGGUUUCUGAGUAGUUGAAAUAGAUAAGUCUUGAGUCAAUCAGUACAUCUGUACCACAUUCAUGUGGCAAAUGCUGCUUUAUGGAGAUGUUUCUAAUACUGACCUACAAUAAUUCAGCCAAGAUCACGUUUCUACUGUCUUCAGGAAAUGAGAAAAAUGAAUCCAGGAAAUUUCCAUCUUUAACUAUACUCUGUAAAUGUGCUGUCCAAUACACAGAUAGCUACUGAGCACUGGAAUAUAGCUAGUCUGAAUGGAGAUGUUCUGUUUGACUUUUUUGGACUCCACAUGUGUGAGAUCAUGCAAUAUUUGUCUUUCUGUGCCUGGCUUAUUUCACUUAGCGUAAUGUCCUCCAGGCUCAUCCAGGUUGUUGCAAAAGGCAGGAUUUUCUUCUUUUUUAAGGCUUGGAGAGUCAUUUGUUUUCAUAAGAGUCUGAAUCAGGAAGGCAGCCACCUGUGAAGAAAAGACAAAGGCAAAGUGGUGAAGAGCAAGGAGAAAUUGGAACCCACGAGAAUGAGCUGGAACUCCAAUGGAUGAGUUAGAACUCUGUCAGUCUUUCCAAACCUCCAGUUUCAAUGCUGAAGGGGUGACCUUCAAUCAAAGUUUGAGCCCUUUGUCAUGGAACUAAAUAUUCACCUGAACAGGGAGUUGAAGAAGCUUGUCAGAGAGUUGACGGGGUGUCCGAUAGGAGCAGAAAAACUAGGAGUGGGAUCUGCCCUAUGCUAUUAUUGGGGCUUGGAAAAUAAAACUGCAAAGAUUGGCACUUUGACAUGCUGAGAGGCCUUAGAAGCUGCCUCAGAAUCCAGGUCCCUCUAAUAUUG
rnacentral:lncRNA from 1 species